ACUCAGUCAGCAGCCAGACGCCAUGGAGGCCACAGCGCUCUGCAUCACACUGUGGAUGAUGGUGUUUCUGCAGCUCUGUGAACAGAAAGUUGUUUCAGAUGCAGAUGUUUGGAUCGAACCAUCCAGACUUCAAGUCUUUGAAUACGAGCCUUCUCUUUAAGAUGUGUGGGCUUCGAUGGUUUGACUGAUGUGAACAUUUUACGGUGGAGCAAAGCAGGAAAGGAAACUUGUGAUGGCUCAAAAUGGGG